rnacentral:rRNA from 1 species
GGGGAAUAUUGGACAAUGUGCGCAAGCCUGAUCCAGCCAUACCGCGUGGGUGAAGAAGGCCUUCGGGUUGUAAAGCCCUUUUGUUGGGAAAGAAAAGCAUUCGGUUAAUACCCGAUUGUUCUGACGGUACCCAAAGAAUAAGCACCGGCUAACUUCGUGCCAGCAGCCGCGGUAAUACGAAGGGUGCAAGCGUUACUCGGAAUUACUGGGCGUAAAGCGUGCGUAGGUGGUUGUUUAAGUCUGUCGUGAAAGCCCUGGGCUCAACCUGGGAAUUGCGAUGGAAACUGGGCGACUAGAGUGUGGCAGAGGGUAGUGGAAUUUCCUGUGUAGCGGUGAAAUGCGUAGAUAUAGGAAGGAACACCAGUGGCGAAGGCGACCACCUGGGCUAAUACUGACACUGAGGUGCGAAAGCGUGGGGAGCAAACA